CGUUGAAACACCGGUUGCCGUAUGAUCACCGGAGUUAAGCAACGUCGAGCCUGGUCAGUACCGAGAUGUGUAAUCGCUUAGGAAUACCAGGUACUGUAAG
rnacentral:rRNA from 1 species